rnacentral:rRNA from 1 species
AUGCCAACACCAACACCACCGGUCGACGACCCCUACUACGACCAGUUCAUAGAGGAAGUGAUCUACGAGGGUGGGCAUGUCCCUGCCUACGAUCCCGACAAGACCCAAAGUCGGGAUGGUCGCGCCCAGUUCGUUGCCGAUGAAGAGGUCGAUGAUCGUGCUGACUACGACCAUGGUGACUCAUGGCAUGAAGACGAUGGCAUCUAUGUCGAAGGUGAUGGUGAUGAAGAAGAAGGCAAUGACAUUGAUAUUAGUGGUGAGCCAUUGUUCAUCGACGAGCUCACCCAAAGAGCGGAAGCACAAAAGAAGAGGAAGAGCAUUCGCACGGGUUCAUAUACACAAGAUGAGGACAAGUUAAUUUGCCAAUGUUUGAUGGAGAUUAGCCAAGAUCCGAGGACGGGAGCGCAACAAAAGGGCCUAGUUUUUUGGACGAGGGUCCACAAAACUUUCCAUGAAAGGAAGAUGUUUGAGCCCUACCAAAUCACAAGCAACCGUGGCAUCACCUCAAUUCAAAAGAGGUGGUUGUUCAUCCAACAAGAGUGGAACAAAUAUUGCGCCGCAUUUGAGAGUGUUGAAGCACGGACCGUGAGUGGUCUCGGCGUUGGGGACAUGGUAUGCUCUCCUCAUCCUAGUACUUUCCUUGUUACGGCCAUGUAUAUGUUUGCAUGUCCAACUCUUGUUGAUAUUGUGGUGUAG